UGUGGUCUGUUGAAGAAAUCUUUGCUGCAAAAUUAUGAAGAUAUUCUCUUAUGUUAUCUUCCAGAAGCUAUGUUUUAUCUCAUGUAAAUUUUGAUCUAUAAUCCAUCUGGAACUGAUUUUUGAGUGUGGAGUGAAUUGUGUGUUAAGAAUCAUUUUUUCUUCUGAAUAUGCAAUUAACUCGUUAUUAUUUUUUGGAAAAGCCCUCCUUUCUCCACAGCAUUGUGUCAUCUUUGCCCUAAGUCAAGUGUUAGUAGUGGUGACAAUCUGCUGCUGGACUCUAUUUUGCCCUGAUUUAAUUGUCUAUCCAAGUGCCAAUGCCAUACUCUCUUAAUUUAUGUAAUGUCUUCAAAUUUUGUUCUUUUUAGAAUAGCUUGGCUAAUUGAGACUCUUUGCAUUCCAUUAGUCUUAAAAUCUGAUUGCCCAUUUUUACAAAAAUAUAAACAAAACAAAACACUUUCUAGAAUUUUUACAGGAAUUGCAUUAAACACAUAAGCCAAUUUGCAGAAAACUGAAAUCUAUUGAAUACUGAGUCUUCCAAUCUAAACACUUGGUAUAUUAGUAACCUCUCAGUUUUUGUAGGUCUCUUUAGUGCUUCUCACAAUAAUUUAUUGAUUUGCAUAUUUAGAACUUUUAUGUAUUUUGUCAUUUCCUACAUAUUUUAUUAUGCUAUUUUAAAUGUGAGUUUUUAGUUUUAUUUCUUAUUGGUGGUACAUAUAAAUACCUUUGCUUUUUAAAUACUGUUCCUCUGUGCAAAGACAUUGCUUAAGUUGUACUGCUUUUAGUAAUUUAUCUGUAUUUACGUUGGGCUUUUUAAUGUAAAAACAUGUAAACCUUAAAUAAAAGUUUUAUUUCUUUAUUUUCCAUUUUUGUACUUUCUUCCUUCCUUUUUCCUUCCUUACCUCCUUCUCCCCACUUUCUGUCACUUUUCCAUCUCUCUUCUCCUUGUUCUUCCUCUUCUCUUGCUCUCUCUUUUUCUCUCUCUGUAUCUCUCUCCCUGUCCCUUCCUUCUUUUUCAUUUUUUUUUUGUUUUUUGCCAUAUUGUACUAGUAGAAACCUUCAAAAUGAUAAUGAAUACAAAUGGUAAUAGGGUACAUUCUUAUCUUAUUCCCAGUCCCAUGAUGAAAACUUUUAAUACUAUAGCAUUAAAUAUAAUGUUUAUUGUAGAUAUUAUUUCUACAAUAGACAUCAUCUACAAUGAUUAGAUAUCUCUUCUAAUCAUAAUUUUCUAAGAUAAUUUAAUUAUGGUCUGUAAUCAUUUCCAAUGCUUUUCCUGCAUCUUUUGAGGUCUUCAUAGAAUUUUCCUUUUUAUUUUGCUAAUGUGAUGAAUUACUUUAAUUUUAUAAUAUUAAAGCAACCUUGCUUUCUGGAAUAAGUUCAAGUUUUUUGUAAUAUAGUUUUUAAAGUAUAUACAUUUGAAUUUUAUUUGUUCGUAGUUUUACAAACAUUGCAUUAUAUUUAUAAAAUAUAUUGACUUGUAAUUUUCCUUUCUUAUAAUGAACUAGUCAAGUUUUAGUAUCAAGCUUUCAUUAGCCUUAAAAAAUAAUUAGAAAAAUUUUACUUAUGUUUUUUAGACUAGUUUGCAUGGAUGGUACUAUCUUUCUUAAGCUGCUUUGAAGAAAUAACUAUUACAUUGUCUGGUUCUUACAUUUCUUUGAUAUUGUUGUAAAUUUUUAGUUCCAGUUUCAAUUUGUUGUAAGCUCUUUAUAGUAUUUUUAUAUUUUAUAAUAAAAUCUGUAAAAUAAAUCUACCUGUUUGUUUCUGAUGUUAGUAAUUAGUACCUCCUUCCAUAUGUAAUUUCAGUUGUUCAUUUUUAUAUGUAGGGUAUCAGUUGACUUUCGUAUAUUGACUUUUUAUCUUGUGAAAUUUCAAUGCUUACGUAUUAAUUCCAAGAUUUUUUUUUGUUGAUUCUAUAGAAUGCUUUUCCACAGGCAAUCAUGUCUUCUAUGAAUAAAGACAGUUUUAUUUUUUUCUUCUCAACUAACAUGUAUUUAUUUCAUUUUCUUGUUUUAUUGCACUAGCUAUGACCUUCACUGCAAUGUUGAAUGGAAGUGGCAAGAAAGGAUAUCCUUGUUGUGUUCCUGAUCUCAGGAGAAAGGCAUUCAGUUUCUUACCAGCUUCCAUUGCAACUUCUACAGAAAGUUCAGGAAAAUAACGACUUUCAACAUUAUAGAAUUUCAAGUUAGAAGUGAUCAUUUUCAACUGAUGAAUCUCAUUGAGGAAGAUGAGGCAUCAAGAGGCUCUUCCACUCUAUUUGCUGCUUUCCAACUCAUGGUUUAAGGAUCUAAUCUCCAACAGACUAUGGAAAUGGUGUCAGACAAAAAGCAAAUUCGAGUGAUUUUCUUAUUCAAUUUAAAAAUGGGUCAUAAAGCAGCAGAGACAACUCGCAAUAUCAACAACGCAUUUGGCCAAGGAACUGCUAACAAAUGUACAGUGGUAGCUCAAGAAGUUUUGCAGAGGAGACGAGAGCCUUGAAGAUGAGGAGCAUAGUGACCAGCCAUCAGAAGUUAACAACUGCCAACUGAGAGCAAUUAUUGAAGCUGAUCCUCUUACAACCACACAAGAAGUUGCCAAAGAGCUUGACGUCGACCAUUCCAGGGUCGCUUGGCAUUUGAAGCAAAUUGGAAAGGUGAAAAAGCUCAAUAAGUGGGUGCUUCAUGAGCUGAGUGAAAAUUUAAAAAAAUCAUCAUUUUGAAGUGUUGUCUUCCCUUAUUCUAUGCAACAACGAUGGACCAUGUCUUGAUAGGAUUGUGACGUGUGACGAAAAGUGGGUUUUAUAUGACAACCAGUGAUGACCAGCUCUGUGGCUGGACCGGGAAGAAGCUCCAAAGCACUUCCCAAAUCCAAACUUGCACCAAAAAGAAGGUCAUGGUCACUGGUAGUCUGCUGAUGGUCUGAUCCGCUACAGCUUUCUGAAUCCUGGUGAAACCAUUAUAUCUGAGGACUAUGCUCAGCAAAUCUAUGAGAUGCACCAAAAACUGCCACACCUGCAACUGGCAUUGGUCAAUAGAAAGGGCCCAAUUCUUCUCCAUGACAACGCCCAACCACACGUCGCACAACCAAUGCUUCAAAAGUUCAAUGCAUUGGGCUACCAAGUUUUGGCUCAUCCUUCAUAUUCACCUGACCUCUCAUCAACAGACUACCACUUCUUCAAGCAUCUCCACAACUUUUUGCAGGUGUUGGGUUACAUCCAGAUGGAAAGCAAACAAAAAUUCUCACCCUCAUGGAUCUCACAUUCUACAGGAAGGAAAGAGAAGAUAAACAAUAAGAACACUCAUUAUUUGGCUCUCUGUUUGUCUGUUAUUGGUGUAUAAGAAUGCUUGUGAUUUUUGCACAUUGAUUUUGUAUCCUAAGACUUUGUUGAAGUUGCUUAUCAGCUUAAGGAGAUUUUGGGCUGCGACGAUGGGGUUUUCUAGAUAUACAAUCAUGUCAUCUGCAAACAGGGACAAUUUGACUUCCUCCCAUUCACAAUUGCUUCAAAGAGAAUAAAAUACCUAGGAAUCCAACUUACAAUGGAUGUGAAGGACCUCUUCAAGAAGAACUACAAACCACUGCUCAAUGAAAUAAAAGGGGACACAAACAAACGGAAGAACAUUCCAUGCUCAUGGAUAGGAAUAAUCAAUAUCAUGAAAAUGGCCAUACUGCCAGAGGUAAUUUAUAGAUUCAAUGCCAUCCCCAUCAAGCUACCAAUGACUUUCUUCACAGAAUUGGAAAAAACUACUUUAAAGUUCAUAUGGAACCAAAAAAGAGCUCGCAUUGCUGAGUCAAUCCUAAGCCAAAAGAACAAAGCUGGAGGCAUCACACUACCUGACUUCAAACUAUACUACAAGACUACAGUAACCAAAACAGCAUGGUACUGGUACCAAAACAGAGAUAUCGACCAAUGGAACAGAACAGAGCCCUCAGAAAUAAUACCACACAUCUACAACUAUCUGAUCUUUGACAAACCUGACAAAAACAAGAAAUGGGGAAAGGAUACCCUAUUUAACAAAUGGUGCUGGGAAAACUGGCUAGCCAUAUGUAGAAAGCUGAAACUGGAUCCCUUCCUUACACCUUAUACAAAAAUUAAUUCAAGAUGGAUUAAAGACUUAAAUAUGAGACCUAAAACCAUAAAAACCCCAGAAGAAGACCUAGGCAUUACCAUUCAGGACAUAGGCAUGGGCAAGGACUUCAUGUCUAAAACACCAAAAGCAAUGGCAACAAAAGCCAAAAUUGACAAAUGGGAUCUAAUUAAACUAAAGAGCUUCUGCACAGCAAAGGGAACUACCAUCAGAGUGAACAGGCAACCUACAGAAUGGGAGAAAAUUUUUGCAGUCUACUCAUCUGAUAAAGUGCUAAUAUCCAGAAUCUACAAAGAACUCAUACAAAUUUACAAGAAAAAAACAAACAACCCCAGUAAAAAGUGGGUGAAGGAUAUGAACAGACACUUCUCAAAAGAAGACAUUUAUGCAGCCAACAGACACAGGAAAAAAUGCUCACCAUCACUGGCCAUCAGAGAAAUGCAAAUCAAAACCACAAUGAGAUAUCAUCUCACACCAGUUAGAAUAGCGACCAUUAAAAAGUCAGGAAACAACAGGUGCUGGAGAGGAUGUAGAAAAAUAGGAACACUUUUACACUGUUGGUGGGACUGUAAACUAGUUCAGCCAUUGUGGAAGUCAGUGUGGCGAUUCCUCAGGGAUCUAGAACUAGAAAUACCAUUUGACCCAGCCAUCCCAUUACUGGGUAUAUACCCAAAGGAUUACAAAACAUGCUGCUAUAAAGACACAUGCACACAUAUGUUUAUUGCGGCACUAUUCACAAUAGCAAAGACUUGGAACCAAGCCAAAUGUCCAACAAUGAUAGACUGGAUUAAGAAAAUGUGGCACAUAUACACCAUGGAAUACUAUGCAGCCAUAAAAAAUGAUGAGUUCAUGUCCUUUGUAGAGACAUGGAUGAAGCUGGAAACCAUCAUUCUCAGCAAACUAUCGCAAAGACAGAAAACCAAACACCGCAUGUUCUCACUCAUAGGUGGGAAUUGAACAAUGAGAACACUUGGACACAGGUAGGGAAACAUCACACACUGCGGCCUGUUGUGGGGUGGGGGGAGGGGGGAGGGAUAGCAUUAGGAGAUGUACCUAAUGUAAAUGACGAGUUAAUGGGUGCAGCACACCAACAUGGCACAUGUAUACAUAUGUAACAAACCUGCAUUUUGUGCACAUGUACCCUAGAACUUAAAGUAUAAUAAAAAAAAUUAAAAAAA